AGUGAACGCUGGCGGUAGGCCUAACACAUGCAAGUCGAACGGCAGCACAGUAAGAGCUUGCUCUUACGGGUGGCGAGUGGCGGGCGGGUGAGGAAUACAUCGGAAUCUACUAUUUCGUGGGGGAUAACGUAGGGAAACUUACGCUAAUACCGCAUACGACCUACGGGUGAAAGCAGGGGAUCUUCGGACCUUGCGCGAUUGAAUGAGCCGAUGUCGGAUUAGCUAGUUGGCGGGGUAAAGGCCCACCAAGGCGACGAUCCGUAGCUGGUCUGAGAGGAUGAUCAGCCACACUGGAACUGAGACACGGUCCAGACUCCUACGGGAGGCAGCAGUGGGGAAUAUUGGACAAUGGGCGCAAGCCUGAUCCAGCCAUACCGCGUGGGUGAAGAAGGCCUUCGGGUUGUAAAGCCCUUUUGUUGGGAAAGAAAAGCAGCAGGUUAAUCCCCCGCUGUUCUGACGGUACCCAAAGAAUAAGCACCGGCUAACUUCGUG
rnacentral:rRNA from 1 species